UACGUAGGGGUCAAGCGAUGUCCGGAUUUAUUGGGCGUAAAGCGCGCGCAGGCGGUCUCUUAAGUCUGAUGUGAAUGCCCACGGCUCAACCGUGGAAGGUCAUUGGAAACUGGGAGACUUGAGUGUAGGAGAGGAAAGUGGAAUUCCACGUGUAGCGGUGAAAUGCGUAGAGAUGUGGAGGAACACCAGUGGCGAAGGCGACUUUCUGGCCUAUAACUGACGCUGAGGCGCGAAAGCGUGGGGAGCAAACAGG
rnacentral:rRNA from 1 species